rfam:Glycine max cultivar Williams 82 chromosome 7, whole genome shotgun sequence.
UUCUUAUUGGAUGAUGACUGUCACGUGUCAUGUUUUAAUUGGAUGUCAACUCCAUGAAAGAUGAAAUGCAUUGUUGUUAACGGUCAACGUCCAAUUGUGGCCUGGGGGACCAACAUUGCAC